ACUCCCCCCCCCCUCUGCUCUUUCUAGAAUCUGAUGUAAUAUUCCAGUCUCCAUGGGGGGGGGAGCAUGAGGGGACAAGGACAUCAGCUACUGGACCCUGCUCUUGCUGGCCAGCUAAGUGGUGCUAGAACCCAAAACCAGUAAUAGCAACAUGACUCCAUAGCAGCAAUGGAUGUUCUACUGCCCAUUAUCCCAAACUAGAAACUUCUCAUCUCUGUUAAUUCAGUCUAGCAUCACCUUACAGAUGUGCUCAGAGCUUGGUCUCCUAGGUAAAAAGAGAUGGAUGGAAACCAUGGACCUGCCAAGUGAAUAAAACCAAGAUCAGAUCAAGGA